rfam:Salmo salar isolate Sally breed double haploid chromosome ssa20, whole genome shotgun sequence.
UGCACUCACUACUGUAAAUCUCUCUGGAUAAGAGCGUCUGCUAAAUGACUCAAA